GGGCUGGCAAGCUGAAGACCUGCCUGCCGGCAGGCAGGGGUCACACAGGUUCGAAUCCUGUGCUGCCCA
rnacentral:tRNA from 1 species